CAAGCCCUGGAAACGGGGUCUAAUACCGGAUAUGACCGUCUGCCGCAUGGUGGAUGGUGUAAAGCUCCGGCGGUGCAGGAUGAGCCCGCGGCCUAUCAGCUUGUUGGUGAGGUAGUGGCUCACCAAGGCGACGACGGGUAGCCGGCCUGAGAGGGCGACCGGCCACACUGGGACUGAGACACGGCCCAGACUCCUACGGGAGGCAGCAGUGGGGAAUAUUGCACAAUGGGCGAAAGCCUGAUGCAGCGACGCCGCGUGAGGGAUGACGGCCUUCGGGUUGUAAACCUCUUUCAGCAGGGAAGAAGCGAAAGUGACGGUACCUGUAGAAGAAGCGCCGGCUAACUACGUGCCAGCAGCCGCGGUAAUACGUAGGGCGCAAGCGUUGUCCGGAAUUAUUGGGCGUAAAGAGCUCGUAGGCGGCUUGUCACGUCGGUUGUGAAAGCCCGGGGCUUAACCCCGGGUCUGCAGUCGAUACGGGCAGGCUAGAGUUCGGUAGGGGAGAUCGGAAUUCCUGGUG
rnacentral:rRNA from 1 species